UCUACCUUUUUUUAACUAUUUUGCUAUCGUGCUUGGUAUUUCACCUUGGCAGCUUAUCUAUCUAGUUAUGGGAAUUUUUUGAUUGAUAUUGAAAUAAGGGAAUUUGAAUUCAGAUUAAUCAUUAUCUGAAAAGAGCCAACAUUUUUUUUUUUUUCAACAUAGAAUCCUUGUGCUAUUCUAGGGAAUAAAUCAUAAAGUUGUAGACCAUUGACCAAUUUUCUAUCAACUCGUGUAAAGACUGCUAGAGAGAUGUCAUGGUGAUAUGAUAGACGUUGAUGGCUAGAGAGACUAGAGAGAGGUGAAGAAAAGUCCAAUAAUUCUGCAAACGUCAUCAGAUAUCCCAGCAACAUGUUUCUGAUAAUAAGGAAGCGGGAGCCGCUCCGACAAUCCCCAUCUCGGAAGUCGAAAAGCACUAGCCAAACGAUUUAUCAAAUAUCUAUCUAUUCAAGCAGAGCAGUGUUGAAUCGUUUGCUAACUAUGGAAGAGAAAUCGUCAAGUAAAACCCAAGGGAAGGCUAUCCGAUGCAAAGCUGCGGUUUGCCGGAAGCCAGGGGAGGCUCUAGUGAUAGAGGAGAUCAUGGUGGCACCGCCGAUGCCUGGUGAAGUUCGCGUUAGAAUUAUAUGUACCUCCCUCUGUCACAGUGAUAUCACUUUCUGGAAGAUGAAGGAUCCUCCCGCAAUAUUUCCAACAAUUUUCGGUCACGAAGCCGUUGGAGUUGUGGAGAGUGUAGGGGAGGAUGUAGAUGAAGUGAGUGAAGGAGAUGUUGUCAUCCCAACAUUCAUGUCAGUUUGUGGAGAAUGCGCAGAUUGUAUAUCCAAGAAGAGCAAUCUCUGUUCAAAAUACCCUUUCAAGAUCUGUCCGUGGAUGCCUAGAUAUGAGACAAGCAGAUUCACUGAUCUUAAAGGCCAAGUUCUUUACCAUUUUAUCUUCGUGUCAAGUUUUAGUGAAUAUACAGUCGUAGACGUUUGUAAUGUUACCAAAAUUGACCCUGCAGUCCCUCCAAAUAGGGCAUGCCUCCUCAGUUGUGGAAUAUCAACAGGGUUCGGUGCAGCUUGGAAAACAGCGGAAGUGGAGAAAGGAUCAACAGUGGCUAUAUUUGGGCUCGGGUCAAUUGGAUUAGCUGUUGCGGAGGGAGCAAGACUAUGUGGAGCUGCUAGGAUUAUAGGUGUGGAUAUCAACCCAAAUAAAUUUGAAUUUGGAAAGAAAUUUGGAGUUACAGACUUUGUGAAUGCUGCGAACUGUGGGAGUAAAUCUGUCAGCCAGCCAAGAUGGAUCUAUCAGAUUAUGGUUGAUCCUUAUCAAUUUGAGGGAUAUGGUGUGUCGUUGUAUCUCUGUAUCAUAUGACAUGUGGUAUUCAACUUGAUACAUCAGGAAAGAGUAAUUUUAAGCUACAUGCUACCAGCUUGAUAAUGGCUGCGAGCUGAAGCAUGAAAAAUGCUUUUUCUUCUCUAAGAUUUUUCACCCACUUGCUUUAUGUUUGAUUCAGCCCAGUGGUGAAGCCACACCUAGGUUUGACGGGGCCAUGGCCCCCUGCCUUUUUAAUUUUUAAUUUUUAAUUUUUGCCACAUAUUUUAUUAUAUUUUAGAUUUAUUUUCGUAUUUUACAUAUUUGGCCCCCUAUAUUUUAUCAGCUUUCUUUAUCAAUUAAAUAUUACUAUAAAAGAGUUUGGAAUUAUCUAUUAAUUAUCAUUAAAACUGUUGAAAUAAUGAAUUAGUUGUAUAAAAAAUAUAAAUUGGUUUGUUAUUCAAAUAUAGGUAACUAAUCAUGUAUAUGAUAAUUUCUCAUUCUAAAUUAAGUAAUUUUUAUAGCGUAUGAGAAUAUGAAUGUUUUGCCAUGAAUUGACAAGUAAAAAGCUUUACUUCUUUGCACUUGAUUGCUAGUAUAUGGUUUUUAUGGUCUUUUUCUUUUCAAACAUAUUUUAUUUAUAUUCAAUAAAAUUAAGUAAUUUAAUUUAUGCUUGUUUCAUUUAUUUUCAAAGAAUGUAUAUUAAAUAAAUGUGUAUGUUUAUUUUAUUUUUUAAAAUAGUUUGAUAAUAAAUAUGAAUUUUAUAUAAACAAUAAUUUAACUUCCAGCCCCUCCACCCUAACAUUCCUUGCUCCGCCCCUGAUACAGCCCCUUGGUGACUGGUACUUCAAGAGACCAAAGGGUGUAUCCUUCCUUUUUUCCUCAUAUUUGCUUUUGUGGAAGAAGAUUUGUUUCAAGUGGCGCUGGAACAAAGUAAAGAUGCUCAUACAUUCUAUUUUUUUACCAAUUCUUAUACAAGUUUUCUUGUUUGGCAGGUGAUCAAUGAGAUGUCUGGUGGGGGUGCAGACUAUUGUUUUGAAUGUGUUGGAUUAGCAUCCUUGGUGCAUGAAGCUUAUGCUUGUUGUCGUAAGGGUUGGGGUAAAACAAUUGUUGUAGGAGUGGACAAGCCGGGGUCAAAAUUGAG